rnacentral:rRNA from 1 species
UACGAAGGGUGCAAGCGUUAAUCGGAAUUACUGGGCGUAAAGGGUGCGUAGGCGGUUAUUUAAGUCUGCCGUGAAAUCCCCGGGCUCAACCUGGGAAUGGCGGUGGAUACUGGAUAGCUAGAGUGUGUCAGAGGAUGGUGGAAUUCCCGGUGUAGCGGUGAAAUGCGUAGAGAUCGGGAGGAACAUCAGUGGCGAAGGCGGCCAUCUGGGACAACACUGACGCUGAAGCACGAAAGCGUGGGGAGCAAAUAGG